UGGGGUUUAGUUCAGUUGGUAGAACACCGGGCUUUGAUCCCGUAUGUCGCACGUUCGAAUCGUGCAACCCCUGCCA
rnacentral:tRNA from 2 species